GUUAGGAUUACGUGCUAACAAAAUUUUACAAUAUAUCAAUUUCUUAAUACAAAGGUCAUUCCUAUUGCAACCAAUAGAAAAUUUAACUCAAGUUAAAUUGAACUACCCUAUGCCUUAUGUAAUGCUAAUUCCAAUGUAACAAUUCAUAACAUUUAUAUAUAUAUAUAUACAUAUUAAUUUGUAUCUAAUGAAAUCUGAUUUAUUCUCUCCCUAUGUUACCUUUCUAGUUACAACAUUCCCUUUUCCACCCGAAACUCUUCUGUCCCUGUCUGUUAAUGGUUACAUACUUGUUGGUUGCCUCACCUUGAAAGACUAUCUCAGAUGA
rnacentral:lncRNA from 1 species